rnacentral:lncRNA from 1 species
GUGAUUUCAUGACUUUGAAAGAAAUACAGUUGUGAGUCACUUCAUAACAGAGUAUGUUCUAAGAGAUGUGUUAAGCGAUGAAAUUCAUGGCUGUGUGAACAUCACAGGAUUCACUUAAAUCCACAUGCUUUACUACACACAGGCUGUAUAGUAAAUGCCACUGACUAUGCGGUACAUCCAUGAUGAACCACCUAUGUGGCACAUGGCUGUGUUGUUUUCAGAUCUAUCAUGGCAGAAUAACCUAGUAAUGGGAACAGAAGCAGCACUUUUUUUGUUUUCAAAAAAAAAUUUUUUUUUCUGAGGCAGGGUCUCAUGUAGUUCAGGCUGGCCUUGAACUCACUAUGUAGGCCAGGCUGGCCUUGAACUUAUGGCGAUCCUCCUGUCUCAGCCUCUGGAGUGAGGCAGCAUUUUUACCAAUACCAGUUCUCAUUCUCAGUCUAGGCACCCCGGAUUUUAAUCUCUACUGGUUUUUUGUUUGUUUUUAACUAAAAGGAAUUAUGCUUGAAAGGGAGUUGGUUCUAUGCUUUGGGGCAGGAAAGAAAAAAAUCAAGAUGGACCAUGAUCCUGAUGUUCCAGGAAGAAAUCUGCUAUCUGGUUCAGAUACUGAUGGGAAAUGCUUGAAGGAUAAAGGAACAAGCUCACACUUCCAGACUAAGUCCCAGCCACAGAACUGAGAACUAUUCAUUUCAUAGAGGAAAGGGUGGAAGCAUAGAGCUAAAGGAUUGGAGCAAUGAAAGGAUGGUGGCUGCCUUGGACCAAUGCUUUCGGAAGGGGAGAUGCAGCUGAGUCUCAUCAGGGGGCAGAUGUCCUGCUCAUACCUUGCACACAGACACACUUUCCCUGCCCACAGCACGGAUACCAAGUGUCUCACAGG